GCAUGAUCCACUUGUCUGCUGCUGGGACGUUUGUUCAUUCAGACCUUCUACAGGAUGGAGGGAGUAACAGAGGACUAUGUAGUGGUGUUAAUCUCCCGAGUCGGCUCCGGAAGAGACAACACCAUGACUGUCUGAAAAGGGUGGAGAUAGCAAAUAUAAAAAGAAUAGGGAGAGGCUAAAUAAUUCAAACAUGAAGCCAACUGGUCUGUCGUUUCAUAUGUUGAAAGAAAUCACGAAUGAUUUUUCAACAAAAGUUGGACAUGGUGGGUAUGGAGAGGUUUUACAAGGGAGUUUAUAAUGGGAGAGAUGUUGCUGUGAAGAAGCUAUACAACAUGCGAGGACUUGAUGAAAAUAUUUUUAAGAAUGAACUUAACAGCCUAAUGAGGGUUCAUCAUCAAAACAUCGUACACUUACUUGGCUAUUGUUAUGAAUAAGCCAUAUGGUGAACUUUUUUUUUGUUAGAACGGACCAUAGAGUCCUCUGCUUCGAAUAUUUGCAUGGUGGAAGCCUUGACAAGCAUCUAUAUGAAGAAUCUUCUGGAUAUGAUUGGUGUACUCGUUACAAGAUAAUUAAAGGAAUUUGUGUGGGUUUAAUUACCUUCACGUGGGACUAAAAAAGCCCAUUUUUCAUCUAGAUCUAAAGCCUGCCAACGUACUGCUAGAUAAAAAUAUGGUGCCAAAAAUUGCAGAUCUUGGCCUGUCAAGGCUGUUCACUGGUACACAUAGUCAUGUUA